rnacentral:rRNA from 1 species
GACGAACGCUGGCGGCGUGCUUAACACAUGCAAGUCGAACGGAGAGGCCUGCUUUCCCUUGUGGAUUGCGGGUACUCGAGUGGCGAACGGGUGAGUAACACGUGAGUGAUCUGCCCCCAACUUGGGUAUAAGCCUGGGAAACUGGGUCUAAUUCCCGAUAGGACUGCAGGGUGGUGCCUGUGGUGGAAAACGAUUUUCUAGUGGUUGGGGAUGAGCUCGCGGCCUAUCAGCUUGUUGGUGGGGUAAUGGCCUACCAAGGCGGCGACGGGUAGCCGGCCUGAGAGGGUGGACGGCCACAUUGGGACUGAGAUACGGCCCAGACUCCUACGGGAGGCAGCAGUGGGGAAUAUUACACAAUGGGCGGAAGCCUGAUGCAGCGACGCCGCGUGGGGGAUGACGGCCUUCGGGUUGUAAACUCCUUUCGACCGCGAGGAAGCCACCUGGUUGGAAGGGUGGUGACGGUAGUGGUAGAAGAAGCACCGGCUAACUACGUG